rnacentral:rRNA from 1 species
UACGUAGGGGGCAAGCGUUGUCCGGAUUUAUUGGGCGUAAAGAGCGUGUAGGCGGCCAAACAGGUCAGCUGUGAAAACUCGAGGCUCAACCUCGAGACGUCGGUUGAAACCGUUUGGCUAGAGUCCGGAAGAGGAGAGUGGAAUUCCCGGUGUAGCGGUGAAAUGCGCAGAUAUCGGGGAAGAACACCCGUGGCGAAGGCGGCUCUCUGGGACGGUACUGACGCUGGAGGCGGCGAAGGCG